GAUGAACGCUGGCGGCGUGCUUAACACAUGCAAGUCGAACGGAAAGGCCCUGCUUUUGUGGGGUGCUCGAGUGGCGCACGGGUGAGUAACACGUGAGUAACCUGUCCUUGACUUUGGGAUAACUCCAGGAAACUCGGGCUAAUAUCGGAUAGUAGCUCUUGCUGCAUGGUGGGGGUUGGUAAGUUUCGGCGGUUGGGGAUGUUCUCUCGGCUUAUCAGCUUGUUGGUGGGGUAGUGGCUUACCAAGGCUUUGACGGGUAGCCGGCCUGAGAGGGUGACCGGCCACAUUGGGACUGCGAGAGGGAGCAGACUGCAAACUGAGGCAGCAGGGGCGAAUAUUGCACAAUAAGCGCAAGCCAGAUGUCACAACGCCCCGUGCGGGAUGACAUACUAUUAGUUGUAAACCGCUGUCGAAUGUAACGAAGACGAAUUGACGGUAACGGGUAAAAAAGCACCGGCUAACUACGUG
rnacentral:rRNA from 1 species